rnacentral:lncRNA from 1 species
ACAGGCGAGGGCGUUCGGCGACGUUACUGGGGCUGCACGGUGCUUGUAGCUGGGCAGUCUUAUCAUCAGAGUGGAGCCUGGUAACCACGACCUCCCCGCCAGGUCCUGUGUGUUGCUAGCUGGAGAAGGGUAGUUGAAAACUCAGACCAAGCACAGUGUUUAUAUCGGUCAAAACUGGAAAACUAUGUCCGGGCGCAGCCGAGGCUGGAGGAUCCCUUCAGGCCAAGAGCAACCUAGCAAUAUGGCGCGACCGGAUCUCUGUAGUCCUACCUCAACCCCCAGCUACUUGAACCCCAAGGUUGAAGGCUCCAGUGAGCUAUGAUCCCACCACAGCAUUGCAGCCUGCCAGACUGAGACAUGAACUUAUGAAUUCAACACAUGAAGACUUACAACUUGAUAAACCAGCUUCAGGAGGCUGGAGUGCAAUGGUGCGAUCUGGGCUCACUGCAACCUCUACCUCCUGGGUUCAAGCGAUUCUCCUGUGUCAGCCUCCUGAAUAGCUGGGAUCACAGGUUCCUGAAAGGGAGAGAGGAAAUCUUCGAUUUUUCAUGGCUGUGAACCACUGCAAGUAUUGAAGAAAUAUUUACUACUUCCAGCCUCAUAAUCCUGCAGUCAUUUGGCACCUCUGAAGCCUUGGGGAGCACUGAAGCCAAGGCUGCACCGUACCAAAAAUUUGAAACAUGUGAAUGAGCUGAAUGUGGAAGGACUACCGGAAAACACUCCUUUCAGAAUCCCCUCAUUGCAUGAAAUCCCAAGGCUCGAAAACAUCUUUCAAGUGAGCAAUUGAAUUAAGUUUGUUAUUAAGAGCUUGGUGAAAGGUAGAAGUUACACGUGAGAAGGCGGUGGAGCCAGGCACAUGAUGGAGCCUCGAAGAGUGGAAGGUGGCACCUGGCUCUGUGAGGAGGGUGUGAAGUCCUCCAUGGGAGGAAGAGAUGCCAGCAAAGGAGUAACUCCAGUUAGCCUCCAUUGUCUCCAAGCCGGCUUUUGUCCUCAUCCACAACGCCUCCACACAAGCUCUGAACACCUGUCCAUUGCUAACUUGAGACUGCCAUGCUGUUAGGAAGUUCAAGUUCACCACAUGGAGAUGAAAUAAGAUAUCAUGAUAAACAUCCCCAGCUGAUCCCAGCCUCCAGUGAUCCAUCAACUACAUAUAUGAUCCUAAGUCACAUGUGUGACCCCGAGCAAGAUCAGCAGAACAAUCACUCAGCCAACCCACAGAACCCUGAAAAAAUAUAAAUCAUUAUAGUUUAAACCACAAGUUUUGGGUAGCUUGUUAUGCUGCUAUUGAUAAUUAAAACAAACUGGAAUAUUUUCAUCUA